UCAAGAUUUGUAUCAAAAGAGGUCAAGGUCAGUUUGGGUAAGAGUCACAGACAGAGUCUGAAGGCACAAACAGAGAUCAGCGAGAGCCAAAGAAGAGCAGCAGGGGGAAAUAUUGUUACUGAGCUGGAUGAAGAAAAACAAAUCUGUGUUGAUUUGGCACACAAAGGUGUCAGUGGUUGCUGCUGUCCUGCUGUUUCCACUUCUGUUAAAGGAGAGUCUGAGAUCUCUUUAUGUCAUCAGUGAGGAACCAGAUACACCCAACCCUGUGCUGUUUAUAAAGGGACAUGCCUUGGAUGCAGAGUCUCUUUAAGAAAUAAUGAUGGAAGUGAAGGAGGAGGUCUGUGAAGUAGACGAUGUGAACACAGCUCUACUCUUCAACUUCAACACUGAAUAUGCUUCAAAUUUGAGAGAUACCCUGACUUUUACUGAAAACUGUUUAAUGUAUCAACAAAAACCAAUAUGCCACCCACAAUGGCCAAUUAUUAUUAUUUGUUUUAUUAAAUUAAUGUGUAUGUAUAUAAAUGCAUGAUAUUUAUAUUUGUUUAUGUAUGUGUUUGGUAGUUUGUUUAGUAAUACAUAUUUAUGGAUGAUUGUUUAUUUAUUUGUGUUUGUUGGUUUGUUUGUAAUACAUAUUUAUGUAUUAAACAGUUUAUGGAGAAUCAUGGUGUUCUGUGUUUAUAGUGAAAUUGGAUUAGUAAUGUAUAAUAAUAAUAAUAACAACAACAACAAUAAUGUUAUUGCUAUCUAGAAAAGGGUUCAUAAAGGAACUGAUGAGGGUCAUUAAUGCACCUUUAAAUGAAGGUUCCAAUUAGAACCUUUUCAAAAAGGUUCAAAAAUGAACCUUUAAGGUUCCCCCACAGUUGCAAUCUCCAGGAACCUCAAAAGGUUCAUUUUUGAACCUUUUCUUCUAAGAGAGAGCACUUUAGCAUCCUG